UCAAUUAGGGGAAAUUUUUGAAUUAGAUCGAGCUACUUUGAAAUCAGAUGGUGUUUUUCGUAGCAGACCAAGGGGUUGGUUCACUUUUGGUCAUGCUACCUAUGCUUUGCUCUCGCAUCACGCACGAACCUUGUUCCGAGAUGUUUUUGAUGGUAUUGGGAAUAGGCAGCCUGAUACCACAUUGCUAUUGCCAUGGUAUCUUUCACCUCCAUUUUUUGUUUGAUUUGACAUGAGGAACAUCUCCUGAACCUUACACGUUGCCAUCAAAAUCAUCGCUCUACCACUCUACUAAGGAUGGAAUCUCAUUUUCAGAAAAUACAUUCGUUCCGAGUUGGACCCUUGGACAGUCGCCGUCCGGCGGCGGCGGGAUAAAGUCCGGUGCCACCCCACCACCAAUGCAACGCUGAGUAGCCGAGUCCGUGGCCUCGAGGUGGAGAAGGCGGCGGGGUCGCCGACGCCCGACGACGAGGACGAAACGGGUGGGAGGACCGCGAGGAGCGCUCUACAAUUCGAAAGCCGCGGCGGAGCCAAUUCAGGGGACGGGAAGUUGAAUUCUAUCACUGACCCCCAAAGCUCCCUGGUCCCUACACACACAACUCCGUCUGAUGAACCGUGCAAUGACAUGAUUAUAUUGUAUCGGGGUGAUUAUAUGCAACUACUUGGGAACCUGGGGUUGGAGGCAAGCAAAGGCAUCCAGUGGCAAGUUGCCUGUUAAUCAAUCAUCUCGUGAUCUGGUGGAUCACAUGCUCAUCUUGCCGCCGUGCAGGCAAGUUUGCCGCCCAUACCGCAGACAUGACAGCCUCUUAAUCAAGCUAAGUUUGUGAUGCUUCUUGGGUUUGGUGUCUACUGUUGCAGUUCACCACUUGGUUACACAUGAGAAGGAUUCUUGCUGUCUGCUGGUCAAGCGUACACGCUGCUAGUGCACAAGCAAUGGAGAGCAGAGACACGACUACAGGACUAGCAAUAUCAUCAAUAAUCCACCUUGCAGUGAUGUGAUUAUGUUGGAAUCAGGUGAUUAAAUGCAACUAGCCUGGGAACUUGAAGCUGGAGGCUAGCAGAGGCAUCUGGUUGUAGCUUCCUACAGUGGCAACUUGCCUGUUGAUCAGUCAUCUCAUCAUGAUGCUCAUCUCACUGCCCUUCAACCGUGCAGGCGAGUUUGCCGCCCAUAUUGCGGACAUGACCAGUGUUAUUAAAACUACGUUUAAACGAUGUUUAAACUACGUUUAAACGUCAAAACUCUAAUUAGAGGUUGAAACCACGUUUUAGCGUUUUGGCGUUCUAAACUGUAAAACGCAGUGUUUUAUGCAUUUUAGACCAUUAGCUACUUU